rnacentral:misc_RNA from 1 species
GAUUUUAUAGACUUGUCUAUAAUAAUUACAAUGAAUUCCUUUUGCCGUUGUUUUUUGCCUAACUAAAAGAUUUGGAGACAAACCAUGGAAAAUUGUGGGUUGCACGUGCUUGCUGAGGCAUCCAAACCAAAUAGGAUGUAGGGCUCAAUUCAAGUGGUAAAUGAAGAGAUGAAGUUGCAAUUGGUAUUAGUCAUCAGUUCAAUCCACCAUUAGCUCUUAUUAAUUCAAAAGUGUCUGCUAACUUAUUGAUGUGUAACCACAAUAUUUGCAAUUGCCAAAAAUG